rnacentral:rRNA from 1 species
CCUACGGGUGGCAGCAGUGGGGAAUAUUGCACAAUGGGGGAAACCCUGAUGCAGCGACGCCGCGUGUGUGAAGAAGGAUUUCGGUAUGUAAAGCUCUAUCAGCAGGGACGAAGCAAGACUGUAUCUGACUAAUAGGCGCCGGCUAACUACGUACCAUCAGCCGCGGUAAUACGUAGGGGGCAAGCGUUAGCCGGAUUUACUGGGUGUAAGGGGAGCGUAGACGGUAUGGCAAGUCUGAGGUGAAAGCCCAGGGCUUAACCCUGGUAAUGCUUAGGAGACUGUUAGACUAGAGUGCUGGAGAGGUAAGUGGAAUUCCUAGUGUAGCGGUGAAAUGCGUAGAUAUUAGGAGGAACACCAGUGGCGAAGGCGGCUUACUGGACAGUAACUGACGUUGAGGCUCGAAAGCGUGGGGAGCAAACAGGAUUAGAUACCCGUGUAGUC